rnacentral:tRNA from 1 species
GCGUCAGCUGAUCAGUUGGUAGAGCGCAACCUUGCCAAGGUUGAGGUCACGAGUUCGAACCUCGUGUGUCGCUCCA